rnacentral:rRNA from 1 species
UAUCUUGGGCGGGGCUGCCAAGGGUGAUUUAAGCCAAUGGCGGCAACCCUGAUCCAGCCAUGCCGCGUGAGGGAUCAUGCCCCUCGUGUUGUAAAGUUCUUUGGCCCGGAAGGAUAAUGACGGUACCGGUAGAAGAAGCCCCGGCUAACUACGUGCCAGCAGCCGCGGUAAUACGUAGGGUGCAAGCGUUGUUCGGAAUUAUUGGGCGUAAAGGGUUCGUAGGCGGUUCGUCAAGUCGGGUGUGAAAUCCCCGGGCUCAACCCCGGACCUGCAUUCGAAACUGCCGUGCUAGAGUGCGGGAGAGGAGAGUGGAAUUCCCGGUGUAGCGGUGAAAUGCGUAGAUAUCAGGAGGAACACCUGUGGCGAAAGCGGCUCUCUGACCACAACUGACG